UGCGGGCUGCGAAAGCGGUACCAAUCUGUUGCAAACUCGGAAUACCUAGAACGCUUUCAAUCGGCCAGUGAGACUGCGGGGGAUAAGCUCCGUAGUCAAGAGGGAAACAGCCCAGACCACCAGCUAAGGCUCCUAAAUAAAAGCUAAGUGGCAAAGGAGGUGAAAAUGCAGUGACAAUCAGGAGGUUUGCCUAGAAGCAGCCACCCUUUAAAGAGGGCGUAAUAGCUCACUGAUCAAGCGUUUUCGCGCCGAAAAUGACCGGAACUAAGCUUUUUGCCGAAGCUGUGGCUACAUCACAUAGAUGAUGUAGGGUAGAGGAGCGUUCCGCCCAGGGGGAAGCCAAGCGCGUAAGCCGCGGUGGACAGGGCGGAAGUGAGAAUGUCAGCUUGAGUAACGUAAACAUUGGUGAGAAUCCAGUGCCCCGAAAACUCAAGGGUUCCUGCGCAAGGCUCGUCCGCGCAGGGUCAGUCAGGACCUAAGGUGAGGCCGAAAGGCGUAAUUGAUGGCAAGAAGGUUUAUAUUCCUUCACUAGUCUAGGCUUAGUCCUGAGGGACGAACAAAUAACACUCUACACAAUUGCCAUGCUUGGCAGCAUGGAACAAACGGUUGCUGUAUGAUGGUAUUUUUUCCAAGAAAAGCUCAUUCGACUUCGAGUCUAGACUACCUGUACCGUAAACCGACACAGGUGAGUGGGUUGAAUAAACUAAGGGGAGCGAGAUAACUCUCUCUAAGGAACUCGGCAAAUUGGCUCUGUACCUUCGGAAGAAAGAGUGCCCCUCAGGGGGCCGCAGUGAAGAGAUCCAGGCGACUGUUUACCAAAAACACAGGUCUCCGCAAAGUCGUAAGACGACGUAUGGGGGCUGACACCUGCCCAGUGCCAGAAGGUUAAAGAAGUUGGUCAAUCUUUGAUGAAGCUAACAACUGAAGCCCUGGUGAACGGCGGCCGUAACUAUAACUGUCCUAAGGUAGCGAAAUUCCUUGUCGGGUAAGUUCCGACCCGCACGAAAGGUGUAACGAUCUGGAUACUGUCUCAGAGAGAGACUCGGUGAAAUAAAACUAGCUGUGAAGAUGCGGCUUACCUGCACACGGACAGAAAGACCCUAUGAAGCUUUACUGUAACCUGGAAUUGCUCUCAAGCUUAUCUUGCGCAGCUUAGGUGGGAGGCUAUGAACCUUUUCUUCUGGGAAAAGGGGAGCCAUCAGUGAGAUACCACUCUUGGUAAGCUAGAGCGCUCAGUCUUCACCGUCAUCCGGUAAGACGACAGUUUCAGGCGGGCAGUUUGACUGGGGCAGUCACCUCCCAAAAGGUAAUGGAGGUGUGCAAAGGUUCCCUCAGGCUGGACGGAAAUCAGCCAUAGAGUGUAAAAGCAAAAGGGAGCUUGACUGCGAGACUGACAUGUCAAGCAGAGACGAAAGUCGGCUUUAGUGAUCCGACGGUGCUGUGUGGAAAGGCCGUCGCUCAACGGAUAAAAGUUACUCUAGGGAUAACAGGCUAAUCUCCCCCAAGAGUUCACAUCGACGGGGAGGUUUGGCACCUCGAUGUCGGCUCGUCGCAUCCUGGAGCGGAAGUACGUUCCAAGGGUUGGGCUGUUCGCCCAUAGAAAGCGGCACGCGAGCUGGGUUCAGAACGUCGUGAGACAGUUUGGUCCAUAUCCUGUGUAGGCGUUUAGAGCAUUGAAAGGAUCUCCCCUUUGUACGAGAGGACCAGGUGGGGACAGACCGCUAGUGUACCAGUUAUUCCGCCAGGGGUAAACGCUGGGUAGCUAUGUCUGGAGCAAAUAACUGCUGAAAGCAUAUAAGUAGGAAGUUCACCUUAAGAUGAGUGCUCUUUUGUCUCAAGCGUCCAUCCUUCAACGAAGUGAUGACAAAUGAAAGACAAGGAAGGUCACGGCAAGACGAGCCGUUUGAUAGGCAUGAAGUAGAAGUGCAGUAAUGCAUUCUGAAGCUGACAUGUGCUAAUAGACCGAGGGAUUUGAUUUU
rnacentral:rRNA from 1 species